AGAAUUAAUACCAAUUUAUGCAAGUGAUAUUUUCCCAAAAGCUGUUAUUACUGUUCCAAAGGAAGUUAUCACUGUUCCAUUGAAAUCUGCUGCAGAAACUGUUUCAUCGCCUCAUGCAACUGGAGCAAAUGUGAGGGUUACUAACAAUUCAGACCCUCAAAUUAGUCCAGUAAUUGUCCCGAUUGAGUCUGAGAAUGGGGUCAGAACCACAUGCAACAACCACCACCACCUGUUAUUCCAAAUUAACAACUCAGACCCUCAAAUUAGUCCAGUAAUUGUCCCGAUGGAGUCUGAGAACCACAUGCAACAACCACCAUCACCUGUUAUUCCAAAUGCAGCUUGUGAUGAAGGAGCAAAAAUCGAUCCACCCAAACAGUGGGCUAGUCUAUUUCAGAGGAAUCGGCUUGCUGCAAAUGGUAUGUCACUAGAGUAUAUUCCCCCUACACUCAAUUAAUGGUAAACCAGUUGGUCAGCUGGUGAAGGAAGAGGUGGAGGAGGAAGAAGUAAAAUGGAAAUGUGCUCUUCUUGUAUUUGUGCUAGGUAAUAGCCCUGGAUAUAAUGGUAUGAAAAGGUUUAUUAACCUUCACUGGUCGCAUGUUCCUGAACAUGAGCUAUUUUAUCACGAUGAGGGAUACUAUAUUGCUAAAUUUAAUUCCAUAGAUGAUGCUAAAGAAAUUCUAUGUGGGGGGCCUUAUACUAUUGCCAACAGACUUAUGAUUUUGAAGCAGUGGUCAGUUGAUUUUGAUUUCAAAGCAGCUUUUCCUUCAGAAAUUCCCUUGUGGAUCAAGCUCCCUAACUUGCCUAUGUCCUGUUAGGGUAGCAAAUCUUUAAGUAGGAUUACUAGUGUCCUUGGUAGACCUAUUUUUGCUGAUGAAUGUAC
rnacentral:lncRNA from 1 species